rnacentral:piRNA from 1 species
UGCUGCCCGUCGGAACCUCCUCUC